UUAAAUUAAAACAAUAAAAUAAAUAUUAGACAUAAUUCAUAUCUAAUAAUAAUAAUAAUAAUAAUAAAAGCAGUUGCGUUCAGAUACAAUCAAAUACAUGUAUCUCGGCUGAAUGUAUUAUUGAAAUGCAUACAUUAUCGAACACGGUCAUAGCACAGAUUAUAUAAAAAUUAAUUUUAUAUAAUUUGUGGUCAUAGGUCAGGUCACUAGAGAGGUUGGAGAACACGCAAAUUCGGUGACGCGACACAUUAUCUGUGUCUGUGGCUCGUAAGUACGAGUAAAUUUAUUAUAACAAUGUCAUUUUAGUCGCGUGAUUCUUUUCAGACGCAUUUAGUCGGCUACAAUGUGUCCCGCGUGAAAGGUGCUCACUACACUAAGGUUUGGUCUAUUAUUCAAAUUUAUAGAUAAAUUUUCCUCUAUAAAAGUUAACUCUUUAUCGUUAAAAUUUUUGAUUUUUACUUUAUCAGUAUUUUGUUAUUUUCUAAAAGAUUUUAUCACUGAGCUAGCUAAAUUUCUUAAUAUCGUGAUGUCGAAGAUUCGUCAAAAUAUAUGUUACAAAAUUUUAGGAAACCAGCCAUUUCAGAUUAAUCUAGAGUCACUAGCUGGAAAUUUUCGAAAAACACUAUCAGUCUUAUCCAGAAGAACUCGAUCUAAUGAAAUUACAGCAUGCAUCAAGUAUUAUUUGUGACUUCAAAUAAAAAAAUAUUUUUUAACGAAAAAUAAGCGAAUCCAUUAAAAAUGAGACAGGACACUUAAAAAUAGGAGAUGGAAAAUAUCCAAAAUUCGAAAAAAAAAAAUUACUUUGUUGACAGGAUUAGUUACUGUUGCAAAAAAACUUGCAGACAACAUAUAUUCUAGUAUCAAAGACCUCAUAGAAAUAUCAAUAUACUGGUUAUUUGCGAAGACCAUUAUGACAUCAAAAUAUUAUACAGCAGAAGAAACGAACAAAAUAUUAUUGGACUCUUUCCAAGCAAAAAAUAUGAAAUACAUAUCAUUGAAUUCAGUACUGGAAGCAAAUGAUAAUUGAUUUGUGAAGAUGUACUUGGAUCGGCAAAAAAUCUUAAUAUAUUGUAUCGCAAUGUAUUGUCGGUAGGCCCGGAUUAACACUAUCGUAGGCCCUAGGCCCCUAGUCCUUCAGGGCCGUUUUCCAGUAUUUAAAUGGUUAAGAAACCUUCUCUUUAUGAGAGGAAGUGUUGAAUCUCAUGCAGUGUUUAGCUUUUAAAACAAUAAUAUUUACAACAUAAAAAUCAAAUCUAAAUUUUUAUAUCAUAUUUAUUAUA